GUGCUUGCUUCGGCAGCACAUAUACUAAAAUUGGGACGAUACAAAGAUUAGCAUGACCCCUGCGCAAGAAUGACAUGCAAAUUCAUGAAGCAUUCCAUAUUUGU
rnacentral:snRNA from 1 species